rnacentral:rRNA from 1 species
AAUAGAUACCCCGGUAGUCCACGCCGUAAACGAUGAGUGCUAAGUGUUAGAGGGUUUCCGCCCUUUAGUGCUGCAGCUAACGCAUUAAGCACUCCGCCUGGGGAGUACGGCCGCAAGGCUGAAACUCAAAGGAAUUGACGGGGGGCCCGCACAAGCGGUGGAGCAUGUGGUUUAAUUCGAAGCAACGCGAAGAACCUUACCAGGUCUUGACAUCCUCUGCCAACCCUAGAGAUAGGGCGUUCCCCUUCGGGGGGACAGAGUGACAGGUGGUGCAUGGUUGUCGUCAGCUCGUGUCGUGAGAUGUUGGGUUAAGUCCCGCAACGAGCGCAACCCUUGAUCUUAGUUGCCAGCAUUUAGUUGGGCACUCUAAGGUGACUGCCGGUGACAAACCGGAGGAAGGUGGGGAUGACGUCAAAUCAUCAUGCCCCUUAUGACCUGGGCUACACACGUGCUACAAUGGAUGGUACAAAGAGCUGCAAACCCGUGAGGGUAAGCGAAUCUCAUAAAGCCAUUCUCAGUUCGGA